rnacentral:rRNA from 1 species
UACGAAGGGGGCUAGCGUUGCUCGGAUUGACUGGGCGUAAAGGGCGCGUAGGCGGUUUGCACAGUCAGACGUGAAAUUCCUGGGCUUAACCUGGGGGCUGCGUUUGAUACGUGCAGGCUUGAGUUCGGAAGAGGGUCGUGGGAAUUCCCAGUGUAGAGGUGAAAUUCGUAGAUAUUGGGAAGAACACCGGUGGCGAAGGCGGCGACCUGGUCCGAUACUGACGCUGAGGCGCGAAAGCGUGGGGAGCAAACAGG